rnacentral:rRNA from 1 species
GAUGAACGCUGGCGGCGUGCCUAAUACAUGCAAGUCGAGCGAACGGACGAGAAGCUUGCUUCUCUGAUGUUAGCGGCGGACGGGUGAGUAACACGUGGAUAACCUACCUAUAAGACUGGGAUAACUUCGGGAAACCGGAGCUAAUACCGGAUAAUAUUUUGAACCGCAUGGUUCAAAAGUAAAAGACGGUCUUGCUGUCACUUAUAGAUGGAUCCGCGCUGCAUUAGCUAGUUGGUAAGGUAACGGCUUACCAAGGCAACGAUGCAUAGCCGACCUGAGAGGGUGAUCGGCCACACUGGAACUGAGACACGGUCCAGACUCCUACGGGAGGCAGCAGUAGGGAAUCUUCCGCAAUGGGCGAAAGCCUGACGGAGCAACGCUGCGUGAGUGAUGAAGGUCUUCGGAUCGUAAAACUCUGUUAUUAGGGAAGAACAUAUGUGUAAGUAACUGUGCACAUCUUGACGGUACCUAAUCAGAAAGCCACGGCUAACUACGUG